rnacentral:rRNA from 1 species
UACGUAGGGGGGCUAGCGUUGUCCGGAUUUAUUGGGCGUAAAGAGCGUGUAGGCGGCUUUACAGGUCCGUUGUGAAAACUCGAGGCUCAACCUCGAGACGCCGGUGGAAACCGUAAAGCUAGAGUCCGGAAGAGGAGAGUGGAAUUCCUGGUGUAGCGGUGAAAUGCGCAGAUAUCAGGAAGAACACCCGUGGCGAAGGCGGCUCUCUGGGACGGUACUGACGCUGAGACGCGAAAGCGUGGGGAGCGAACAGG